AGAAGUGAAAACUAAACAAAACAUUGCCAUUUUUUUAUUUUGAAAAACUGCAAAAAUAGAAAGACUGGGAACGAAAUAUUUGAAUGCAAAAAUACGUCCUUUAUUUAUGAUAAAAAUGCAAGUGUCACAUAGAUGGGCCCUACAAUGAGUCAUUACGCCCUAGGCGGAACGUAAGACUUGGACAUGCAUGAAUAAACAAAGAAAAUUACUCCUUCAGAAAAGUGACUUGGACAAUCUCCUCAGAAGACCAAUUGUUGAUGACUUCACCCGGGAUCCUCG
rnacentral:lncRNA from 1 species